GCUGGGUCUGGGCUAAUGUUGUCUAGCUGGGUCUGUGUCUGGGCUAAUGUUGUUGUCUAGCUGGGUCUGGGCUAAUGUUGUUGUCUAGGUGGGUCUGGGUUGAUGUUGUUGUCUAGGUGGGUCUGGGUUAAUGUUGUUGUCUAGGUGGGUCUGGGUUAAUGUUGUUGUCUAGGUGGGUCUGGGCUAAUGCUGUUGUCUAGGUGGGUCUGGGCUAAUGUUAUUGUUUAGGUGGGUCUGGGCUAAUGCUGUUGUCUAGGUGGGUCUGGGCUAAUGUUAUUGUUUAGGUGGGUCUGGGUCUGGGCUAAUGAUGUUGUUUAGGUGGGUCUGGGUCUGGGCUAAUGAUGUUGUUUAGGUGGGUCUGGGUCUGGGCUAAUGAUGUUGUUUAGGUGGGUCUGGGUCUGGGCUAAUGAUGUUGUUUAGGUGGGUCUGGGUCUGGGCUAAUGAUGUUGUUUAGGUGGGUCUGGGUCUGGGCUAAUGAUGUUGUUUAGGUGGGUCUGGGUCUGGGCUAAUGUUAUUGUUUAGGUGGGUCUGAGCUAAUGUUGUCUAGCUGGGUCUGGGCUAAUGCUGUUGUCUAGCUGGGUCUGGGCUAAUGCUGUUGUCUAGGUGGGUCUGGGUCUGGGCUAAUGUUGUUGUUUAGGUGGGUCUGGGUCUGGGCUAAUGUUGUUGUCUAGCUGGGUCUGGGCUAAUGUUGUUGUUUAGGUGGGUCUGGGCUAAUGUUGUUGUUGUUUAGGUGGGUCUGGGCUAAUGUUGUUGUUGUUGUUUAGGUGGGUCUGGGUUAAUGUUGUUGUUUAGGUGGGUCUGGGUUAAUGUUGUUUUUGUCUGUUUAUGGUGGGUCUGGGCUAAUGUUGUUGUUUAG
ensembl:lncRNA